ACAUAACCACUCACUGUGCCAUCUAAGUCUCCCACAUAACCACACACUGUGCCAUCUAAGUCUUCCACACAUAACCACACACUCUGCCAUCUAGGUCUUCCACACAUAACCACACACUGUGCCAUCUAGGUCUCCCACAUAACCACAUACUGUGCCAUCUAGGUCUUCCACACAUAACCACACACUGUGCCAUCUAGGUCUCCCACAUAACCACACACUGUGCCAUCUAAGUCUUCCACACAUAACCACACACUGUGCCAUCUAAGUCUUCCACACAUAACCACACACUGUGCCAUCUAGGUCUUCCACAUAACCACACACUGUGCCAUCUAAGUCUUCCACACAUAACCACACACUGUGCCAUCUAGG
ensembl:lncRNA